UGGGGAAUAUUGCACAAUGGGCGAAAGCCUGAUGCAGCGACGCCGCGUGAGGGAUGACGGCCUUCGGGUUGUAAACCUCUUUCAGUAGGGACGAAGCGCAAGUGACGGUACCUGCAGAAGAAGCACCGGCUAACUACGUGCCAGCAGCCGCGGUAAUACGUAGGGUGCGAGCGUUGUCCGGAAUUACUGGGCGUAAAGAGCUCGUAGGCGGUUUGUCACGUCGUCUGUGAAAUCCUAGGGCUUAACCCUGGACGUGCAGGCGAUACGGGCUGACUUGAGUACUACAGGGGAGACUGGAAUUUCUGGUGUAGCGGUGGAAUGCACAGAUAUCAGGGAGAACACCGAUGGCGAAGGCAGGUCUCUGGGUAGUAACUGACGCUGAGGAGCGAAAGCAUGGGUAGCGAACAGG
rnacentral:rRNA from 1 species